AGCUCCUUGAGGAGAGAGACUGCGCUGUAACUGGACACUUGUUCCACUGCUGCUGAAGGAAUAACCCUCCCAACUCUGCGAUACGGGUACAGGAGGACGCGUGUGGUUUCCGGUAUCUGAAGAUAAA